AUCCCAGCUAAAGUUCUUGUGUUUAUCUGAUUCAUGGGAGGCCUAUAUUAACAUUGGAAGUUCGCUGAUAACACCUUUUUUUAUUUUAUGAGGUGUUUUAAUAGUAUCUCUCCAUAAAUGU